CACACACACACACACACACACACACACACACACACACACUGUAGCUGUCUUCAGACACACCAGAAAAGGGCAUCAGAUCCCAUUACAGAUGGUAAUGAGCCACCAUGUGGUUGCUGGGAAUUGACCUCAGGACCUCUGGAAAAGCAGCCAUUGCUCUUAACUGCUGAGCCAUCUCUUCCAGCCCUGUUUAUUUUUUUUUUUUAAUAACUGCAUAGUAUUUCAUUUGGUUUGAAUGAAAAGUCAUAAUCCUAAACAUUGGACCAAAAUCCUAAAAUAUAAUUCUGGGAAACACAAUUUUAAAACUUUAGUUAAAAGACAUUUACAUUUCUUCAAGGGAGUUUAGGGCCUGCAAGAUGGCUAAUGGGGUAAAUGGAUUUGCCACACAAGCCUGGUGACCUGAAUUCUAUCACUAGAGUCUGUUUAAAGGUGGAAGGAGACAACAGACCCCACAAAGUUGUUUCCUCAAAGUUAAUAACAGUAAAAUAAAGCUGCGAGUACACCCCAUACCCACACACAGUAAUAAUAUUAAUAAUAAGGAAAAUUUAUUUGAGAGACAAACAUGUUAGAAUACUCAAUAGGCUACUUUACAAAAUAAAAUAGACAAUCGUGUCUUGUGUGUUUUUACAAAUAUAAAGUUCUGAUGUGCCAGUGAUGUUCUACAAGUCUUAGAGUUAUAAGGAGACAAACUGUGUUCACAAAAGAUAAGCCAAAAAGCAGAACUUUUAAACAUAUGCCACUGGAUGUGUAGUGGUUUGAAUAUGCUUAGCCCAGAGAGUAGCACUAUUAGGAGGUGUGGCCUUGGUUAGAGUAGAUGUGUCACUGUGGGGAUGGACUUUGAGACCCUCUUCCUGGCUGCCUGGAAGAAUGUAGUUUUCUGGGCCAUUCCAAUCAAGAUGUAGAACUCUUGGCUCCUCUAGCCCCAUGUCUGCCUAGGCAUUGCCAUGCUUCCUGCCUUGAUGAUACUGAACUGAACCACUGAAACUAUAAGCCAGCCCCAAUUAAAUGUUGUCCUUUUAAAAAGUUGCCUUGGUCAUGGUGUCUUUCAUAGCAACAAAACCAUAACUAAAACAUGAUAUUGAUUUGUAUGCCAACUUUAUAACUAAAGACAUACAAAGACAUACCUUAGGUUUUCUUGAUGAGAUUAAUCAAAAGUCAUAACCAUAAUGAAACACGGUAGUUAGCCAGAGCAAAAAAACUCCAGAAAUGUCUUCUUUUAUAAGUUCAGCUAUUCGGGAAGGACCCUCUUCAUUUAGUGAGGACAUUGUGUGUGUAUACGCCCACAUAGUGAGGACAGUGGCUCUCUGUGUGUAUACGCCCACAGGUCAGCACCAGUUGUUUUUCCCCUUAUUUUUCUGAGACAGAGUCACUCUCUGAGCCUGGAGCUUACCAAUUCAACUAGACUGGCCACCAAUCCUGUGGGAGUCACCUGUCUCCUUCCCUUCCUACCCUCCAGUGCCUCCUCUGCUGUGCCCAGCUUGUACAUGGGUACUGGGAAUCAAACGCAGGUCUUUGCUCUUGUAUGACAGCACUUUACUGACUGAACCAUCUCCCCAGCCCCUUGUGUUUUUACAUAUGUGUGUGGUAUUCACAUACCACAUAGUAUUUUAAUAACAUACUUUUGUGUAAUCAAAUUUGCAAAAAAAAUACAUAAAACAAUUUAAUGGUCUAUACAAUUCUUUACACAAUUGAAAACUUUUAUUAUUAGAAGUAAUGCAGAACUGAAAUAUACAACAUUCCUAAUUGCAAAUUAAUAAUGCUGGCAAUUUAAAAUAGC
rnacentral:lncRNA from 1 species